rnacentral:rRNA from 1 species
AGCGAACGCUGGCGGCAGGCUUAACACAUGCAAGUCGAGCGGGCCUUUCGGGGUCAGCGGCGGACGGGUGAGUAACGCGUGGGAACGUGCCCUCUGGUUCGGAAUAACUCAGGGAAACUUGAGCUAAUACCGGAUACGCCCUUUUGGGGAAAGGCUUGCUGCCGGAGGAUCGGCCCGCGUCUGAUUAGCUAGUUGGUGAGGUAACGGUUCACCAAGGCGACGAUCAGUAGCUGGUCUGAGAGGAUGAUCAGCCACACUGGGACUGAGACACGGCCCAGACUCCUACGGGAGGCAGCAGUGGGGAAUAUUGGACAAUGGGCGCAAGCCUGAUCCAGCCAUGCCGCGUGAGUGAUGAAGGCCUUAGGGUUGUAAAGCUCUUUUAUCCGGGACGAUAAUGACGGUACCGGAGGAAUAAGCCCCGGCUAACUUCGUG